rnacentral:rRNA from 1 species
UACAGAGGUGGCAAGCGUUGUUCGGAAUUACUGGGCGUAAAGGGCGCGUAGGCGGCCUUCUAAGUCAGACGUGAAAUCCCCCGGCUUAACCUGGGAACUGCGUCUGAUACUGGGAGGCUUGAGUAUGGGAGAGGGAUGUAGAAUUCCAGGUGUAGCGGUGAAAUGCGUAGAUAUCUGGAGGAAUACCGGUGGCGAAGGCGGAUCUCUGGACAGUUCCUGACACUGAGGCACGAAGGCCAGGGGAGCAAACGGG